AUGCUAUACAUGCAGUCGAGCGGASUUGAURAGAAGCUUGCUUCYYUGAURSUUAGCGGCGGACGGGUGAGUAACACGUAGGCAACCUGCCCUCAAGUUUGGGACAACUACCGGAAACGGUAGCUAAUACCGAAUAAUUGUUUUCUUCGCCUGAAGGAAACUGGAAAGACGGAGCAAUCUGUCACUUGGGGAUGGGCCUGCGGCGCAUUAGCUAGUUGGUGAGGUAACGGCUCACCAAGGCGACGAUGCGUAGCCGACCUGAGAGGGUGAUCGGCCACACUGGGACUGAGACACGGCCCAGACUCCUACGGGAGGCAGCAGUAGGGAAUCUUCCGCAAUGGGCGAAAGCCUGACGGAGCAAUGCCGCGUGAGUGAUGAAGGUUUUCGGAUCGUAAAGCUCUGUUGCCAGGGAAGAACGCUUGGGAGAGUAACUGCUCUCAAGGUGACGGUACCUGAGAAGAAAGCCCCGGCUAACUACGUGCCAGCAGCCGCGGUAAUACGUAGGGGGCAAGCGUUGUCCGGAAUUAUUGGGCGUAAAGCGCGCGCAGGCGGUCAUUUAAGUCUGGUGUUUAAUCCCGGGGCUCAACCCCGGAUCGCACUGGAAACUGGGUGACUUGAGUGCAGAAGAGGAGAGUGAAAUUCCACGUGUAGCGGUGAAAUGCGUAGAUAUGUGGAGGAACACAGUGGCGAAGGCGACUCUCUGGGCUGUAACUGACGCUGAGSGCRAARGCKKGGGGASCAACAGGAUARAWACCUGGUAGUCMMSSCCGUAAACGAU
rnacentral:rRNA from 1 species